ACCUUUAUUUUGAAAUGUCUUCACGGCGCAUAACUGUUUGUGCACAUACUGUAUGUUCACAUCGUUUAAUGUUGUCACUAAUGAGAAUCUGGGAAUUACUGCACAAAAUGUAGAGGUUUUGCGAUUUUUCUUUCUAUGGUGUACAUGAUGAGAUACUUUUAACAUGCCGAUUUUGAAAAAAAAAAAACAUAAAAAAAAAAAAUGGCUAGCAUCACACGUUUAACCAAGUUGUGAAUUAGCCGUUUAUCCGACCAACCACGGAUCAGUCAAACCUCUGAAUACAAUAUAUCCUGUACUUUAAAGCAUGUGAUUUAACUACAAGCUAUUUAAUCAGCAACGUGGAAUGUACUUUAUCUUGAAUAACAGAAAAGAAUAUAACGCUGUAAACACGCGCGGAGUGAACACAUACAAGCAGCUCAGUGUAGUAGCAGGAGAAGUCGUCAUGGUUUUUCGCGCAUGCGCAGUGACGAGGAAAGCCAAGUCUCCGGAACCGGCAGGAACUCAGGAGCCGAAGAAACAACCUUUCCUGAAACCAUCCCACCCAGGCUGUUAAGUUCACACACAGCAGUGUAAAGAGGAGCAUUUGGUCAGGUGGUGUGAAAUGUAUGCGAACAAGACGUGUUGGAUUUUAACGGGAGCGACGGUAGCGUGUGUUCUCGCGCUGUACCUGCACCAUGUCCCGCGCGCUGUCGCUGGUGGAGACUCAGGAGAGUUGAUCACCGCUGCUUGUGAGCUGGGGGUGGCCCAUCCCCCUGGAUAUCCUCUCUUCACCAUGCUGGCCUGGCUGGCCCUGCAUCUGCUUCCUUCCACUUCUCCUGCACACGCCGUCAAUGUGCUGUGCGCUGUGCUGGGGGCCGUGGCUAGCGGGGCGCUCUGCUAUACCGUCUGCAGAAUGGCUGGGCCUGGUCCAGGAGCUGUGCUGGCAGGUGGAAGCUUCGCCCUAUCCAAACUCGUGUGGCGGUGGUCACUAGUGGCCGAAGUCUUCUCACUUAAUAACCUUUUCGUGGGGUUCCUUUUCUCCCUCUCAGCCUGCUUCCAUAAUGCAGAGACUGUGGACCAGAAGAAAAAGUUUGCUCUUUGGGGGGCGCUUUGCUGUGGAUUGAGUCUGUGCAACCAGCACACUCUGAUUGUGUAUGUGCUCAUCAUCAUUCCCUGGGCUCUGCUCCAGCUCUUCACUUACAAAGGGUUGUGUUUUUCAGCCCUAGUAUCUCUGGGUGUGUGUUUCCUCACGGGAUUCCUGCCAUAUCUCUACCUGCCCAUUUCCUCGUACUUAAACAAAGCUCGGUGGAGUUGGGGAGACCAGACGACCCUCGACGGCCUGCUUACACACCUGCUCAGGACUGAGUAUGGCACCUUCAGCCUGGCAAAAUCUGUGGGUAACGUUAACCUGGUGAAGAUGCUACAAGCUCAGUGUAAUCACUGUGUGGCUGACCUCUCUGUUCCUGUGCUCCUCUUAGCUGUAUUGGCUCUGCUGCACGCUUUAUGUAAUAGGAGAUGCCGUGCUUCUGUGUGCCUGAUUGCUGUUAUGGUGAGUGUCUAUUCUGUGUUCUUUGCCUGGAGAGCCAACCUGGACAUUGAGAAUCCCCUGCUGCUUGGAGUCGUGGAGCGGUUCUGGCUACAGGCUGACGCUGGUGUGUGCGUUCUGGCCGGUGUGGGGCUGAACUGGACAGUGUGUUUUCUGGAGAGAUGGCUGAGGCUGAGAUCUGUGUGGAACCUAGGAGCCUGGCUCAUCACUGCAGGACUUCUCUCACACACGAUUCACUUAAACCAAAGAGAGUUUGAUCAGAAUAGGAACGAUGUUGUGGAGAGAUUCGCCCGUGAGCUCAUUUUCUCAUUCCCAGAGAGCUCAUUGGUGCUGACCAGGGGUGACCUUCCUGGUAACACACUCCGCUACUUGCACUACUGCCAGGGCCUGCGGCCAGACCUCAGCCUCGUCGACCAAGAGAUGAUGACCUAUAGCUGGUAUGUGCCUAAGCUGCAACAGCAUCUUCCUGGAGUAAAGUUCCCUGGGCUAGUUUGGGAUCCAGUUAACACUGAACAGAAGAAUAGCUUUAACAUCGAACAGUUUAUCCAGCACAAUAUACACCGGCCUGUGUUUGUGUGCAUUGGCUUGACAGAAGGAGACCCAAGUUGGGAGAAGUCCUUCUCCCAUUGGCCAUGGGGGGUCUGUGAGCAGCUGAUGCCCCUUACAAGCAGCCUUUACCCUGUGGAGUGGGUACAGCGCACACAGAAUUUGUACAACUGGAGUGAGCCUUAUAAUAGCUUUCCUCCUGGCUCAUGGGAGCAAGUGGCCAAUGAGGAAAUGUGGCAGGCCAGGAUGAAAAUGGCAUUCUUCCUCUUUGACCUUGCUGAGAAGAUGGCGGGAGGAAGUCAGACUCAACUCUAUGAGCUCUCUUACAAUUUAUAUUGUCAAAUUGUGGAUGCCCAGAUGGACUAUCCUGCUAAUUGGGAUAAGAAUUUGGCUUUGGCUGCUGAGCGCUUGCUCCGUUUAGGAGGAGGACGUCAUGAUCUAGAGUCUCUUUUGAACCACAGUAUCCAGCACUUCAGCCGGUACAUUGAGAGAGAACCCACAGACCCUCAGAGCGACGCCAUCCGUUCCGCCAUCACACACCUCAGCAAGGAGAGAGACAUACUCAGAGACUCGCACAGAAAAACAGACCAUAGACCACUAUGAAACCUCAGAAAAACUUCAGAAAAUGUGAACCCUCUUUACCAUAUAUAGCUGUACUGUUUAAGGGAUUAGGAACAUCAACAAGAAAGGAAUUCCUGAUGCAGAGGCAGGUGGAAAUCAGGUGAAGGAAGCAGAGAGAAUGAAAGCAAACCAGCCAAUUUCAGUGAAAAUCAUACAGGGAUUGUGGGAACCCAUGGAAUCGCCGUGACCGCGGAUGCAGGCAGGGCGCCACGGCAACACUGGAAUGUGGGCCGCCUGAGCAGAUAAGAGUGGAGAGCCCAGCCAGCGGGUGGGGGGGGUGUUGAAGAGAGAAAGUAAGAGACGGAGAAAGAAGAGAGUACAGGGCUGGAGUCAAGAGCAUGAUGGGAUCAGAGUAAACAAACUGGUCAGUAGGGGUAUGGUCAGAAAGACAUUACUCAAAACACAACAAGGACAUAGAUCCAAAAGAACAGAGAGAGAAUGUGGCAGUAAAAUGCAAGCAAGAGCCAAAAGAGCACGCAAAAGAGAGUUGCAGUGGAACAGACACAUUACACAGUGGCAAUGGGAAGCCAGCCUUACUGCUCUUUGCAUUUCAUUUACAUCCCUGGCUGUAUCGACCAAUCGGAUUGGGAGCACAGCCUGGGGCUUAGGAGGAGAAUAAAAAGAAAAAAAUGCCUUAGCUGUACUCAUCCCUCCCUGAUAAUACCCCUUCUGUUUUUUUCUUUUUUUUCCCCCGCACCCGGAGAGGAGUUGAUACUGUCCGAAAUGCCAGAGAAGAAGCGACACCUCCGCUUGCUGUGCCUUGCUGAUAGACUGCGCCAGCGGCGUGUUAAAAAGAGGGCUUUAGCUGCAGGGCCUAUCUCCUCUCCUUCCACUAACUUGGGGGAAUGAGAGGGAAGGAGGGAGGGCGCAAAGAGGAAGGAGAGAGACUAUACAGAGCUAGCCACUGUUAUGGAGUUGACAUAAAACUUCGGCCACUUAUGCAGGUGUGUUUGUGUGGACAUGUAGAUUUGUACUUCAUACCACUGAUGAGCUGCAGGAGGGGGACAGAGGGCAUGGACAGAAAAUUGAAAGGCUAUGUGAUCCCUAUUUCAAUUCCAAAAGUCUGAAUUCAUCACAAAAGACUGCUUUUAUUUCAUGACUGUUAAAAAACAAAUGCAAAUUAAAGCUGCAAGCAGAGUUUAAAGGGGCCAAGCACCAAAGGCACAGCAAGCGCAAUGUAGAGCCUGAAGACCACGAAGAGGAGAAAUGGAAUGUACAUGAAUGAAUAAAAGGUAGGUCCAGAAGCACAGCUGAGAACAUUGAACAGGAAAUGAACAGAACAGAGGCAUUUAUUUGCAGGCCAGGAGGUUGAAAGGUUAGUGCAAUGCUGAGCCACAAAAGAAAGGACCCGAAAGACACAAGACUGCAACACUUUUCAGGACUGGCACCAGACAGGAUUCAAACUCAGGACCUUUAGAACUGGUGUUUGUCGUUUAUCACAGUGCACCACACAGAGAUCAUACGUUUGGUUUGGUGCUGAGGUGAGCUUCCAAGGUGAGAAUGAGCACACAAAAGCAUUAGUUAAAGUGUUAACAGAUACUGGAUCAUAACUUUUGAACAAAUAUAAAUAUCAAAAUUAUGUUCAAUCAUUUUUUUGCGACUGUCCACUGAUCAUCUGAGCCAAUUUUAGUAAGAAUUGGACAAAAGUUGAACGAGGAGUAAUGAAAAAACUGAAUACUGUACAAUUCAAAAUGGUGACUGCUGUAAUGGGUAGAGUCUUAAUGUAAGAUAUGGACUGUGAUCAGCAUGACGAGAGUAAUCUGAUUAACUAAAUUUCUUUUCUCUAGGACAAAGUGUUCAACAAUUAAUAACCAUUUGAAAAGUGAAUAUUUGAACUAAUGGUGCUGCUAUACAGUUGGUCCUAGAGAGCCCAUAAUUGGUCUGAGUACUAUUCAUGGUCAUAUCUGAGUGUGCCAAAUUUCAUCAUUUUCCUACUUAUGGUUCAUAGGGCUGGACUUGGACUCCCAGUGGCGAAGAAGCAGAAUAAUAAUACUAAAAAAACUAACAGAUACAAUAGGUUCUAAUUUUGUGCCACAUUAAGGAAGUGUGGUGCCAUUGAGGACACAGAGCCACAUUUUCAUAAUUUGCUGCCUCAGUGUGCGUCGGUCCUACCCGAGCUGUGGCCGUGUCUGAAUGCCAGCCUGGGGAGGAACAGCAGCCUACCUUCCACUGGGAAAAAAGAGAGAGAGAGAGAGAGAGAGACAGAGACUGUAAACAAGAGAGAGAAAAAGAGAACCAGAAUGAGUGCAAACUCUUGACUGUCAACACAGGGUAAUAGUGCAUUUUAGUACUGUCUUGUACCCCUGCACUUUUAUGCUGCCCAAAGUUAGAAAAUGUCCUUUUGGUGGAUAUUUAUCGACUGAACGUAGCUGAACAUUUUUGUUCCCAGUGCAUCCACUCAUUCUACAUUAGAACGUCUUCAGCAUGAGCAGUGAACAGUGCUCAUAUCCCCCCACCAUCCCAGCUGUAGUGAGGUAAAUGAUAAAUGCAUCAGUGAUAAGGAUUAACAAGGUUGGUUUACAUUGCAUAGUUUCAGUAGUUUAUGAUUCAUAAUGAUGACAAACAUUGAAACAGGGAUUGCUUCGUUGACAGCUUUUUUUUUUUUUUUUUUUUACCGUUUCUUGUGGAAAAUAUUUGUGAAAGGCUUAAAGGGAUGAAUCACAUUUUGAAAAGUUUACAUUUCCAGCCUGACAGACAGGAGCUAAUCGUGCCGUUGGGGGAACGUAGAGAAUGUGUCAUAAUGGCCGACACCAGCUAAUCUAAAAAGCUCCCCAUUUACAAAUGGAAAUCCCAGGAUCCAAUUGGGCUAAUGAAGAGAGUUGAGCAGGAUAAUAAGAUGUGCUGUAAUGCUGUGUAAAAGGCCUGUAAUGCUGUGUUGGUGGUGGAGCCUGUGUUGUGAGUUGUGUGUGACAGACUGAAGAGACUUCCAGAAGCCUGGAGGCCUGGCCGAUGUGCUCCGCUCUUCUGUGAGCUGAGAGCUGCCUGGUUAUUGCUGCUGGCCUGCUUAUUGCUGAGACUCUGGAUCCAAAUCUAACACCCUACAGUAUGAUCACGAAGUCUGAGUGCGCUCCCAGGAAGUAAUAAUUAUUUAAGCUGCUGGAAAUUACACUAAAUACACACACAUUGCUUUAUAUUUUUAAGCGUUGUGAAUCAGAUGCAGUACUUUAGACAAACGGUAACAUGUAUGUUUCCAAAAGUGGGUGUGAAUAGUUAUUUCUUAAUGACACCUGAUACUUUAUUGACAUAUAUAUCUAUUAGAACACUGGUUUUAAAAUUUAUUAAUACCUGGUGAAACCUCCUUUCCUGUAGACAGGAAGCUGUGAGCCUCUUCCCAGAAUGUUUAAAAGGGUUGAGAACACUUGAACAGAGAUCUUGGUCUAGUUCUCUAUGCAGAACAUCUCCUGGGUGAAUGCCUCCACCUUGCACCCAGUGUUGCUGGGAUAGGAUCCAGAUUAGCAGUGACCCUGACCAGAAUAAAGCUGUUACUGAAGAUGAAUGUUUAUGUAUAGUUUUAUAUCCAUUAACUGACUUGUACAUCUAUUGUUUAUUUUCUGUUAUUUUCUGGCUUUGAUUUUUCUCAAAAGAAUGGAUGUCUAAGGGAUUUUAUGUGUGCAAGGUAACAACAGAGUUUAUAGAGAUGGAGCAUUUAAAAAAACUUUUUCAAGGAUGACUACGUGCUAGAAUUUAUUUCAAAUAUUUUUAGAUGUCAAUAAUAUUUCCACUUAUGUUUAUAAUAGAAAAAUUGGUUCUAUUUUUAUAAUACAUUUUUUUUGUAAAGUAUUUAUUAUUUCCCAAUAAGUUAAGUACAAAAUUGUAAUCAUUAUGUAUAAUGUUUAUAAAACUAUUC